rnacentral:rRNA from 1 species
UUAAGCGAAUAAGCGUACACGGUGGAUGCCUAGGCAAUCAGAGGCGAUGAAGGACGUGCUAAUCUGCGAAAAGCGUCGGUAAGGUGAUAUGAACCGUUAUACCCGACGAUAUCCGAAUGGGGAAACCCAGUAUCCAAUGGAUACUAUCAUUAACUGAAUCCAUAGGUUAAUGAGGCGAACCGGGAGAACUGAAACAUCUCAGUACCCCGAGGAAAAGAAAUCAACCGAGAUUCCCCUAGUAGCGGCGAGCGAACGGGGAGCAGCCCAGAGUCUUAAUCAAUAACAGUGUCAGGAGAACGGUCUGGAAAGUCCGGCAGUAAAGGGUGAUAGCCCCGUAUCUGAAGAUGCUGUUAUUGUGAACUCGACGAGUAGGGCGGGACACGUGUUAUCCUGUCUGAAUAUGGGGGGACCAUCCUCCAAGGCUAAAUACUCCUGAUUGACCGAUAGUGAACCAGUACCGUGAGGGAAAGGCGAAAAGAACCCCGGCGAGGGGAGUGAAAAAGAACCUGAAACCGUGUACGUACAAGCAGUAGGAGCCUCUUUAUGGGGUGACUGCGUACCUUUUGUAUAAUGGGUCAGCGACUUAUAUUCUGUAGCAAGGUUAACCGUAUAGGGGAGCCGUAGGGAAACCGAGUCUUAACUGGGCGAAUGAGUUGCAGGGUAUAGACCCGAAACCCGGUGAUCUAUCCAUGGGCAGGUUGAAGGUUGGGUAACACUAACUGGAGGACCGAACCGACUAAUGUUGAAAAAUUAGCGGAUGACUUGUGGAUGGGGGUGAAAGGCCAAUCAAACCGGGAGAUAGCUGGUUCUCCCCGAAAGCUAUUUAGGUAGCGCCUCGUGAACUCAUCUUCGGGGGUAGAGCACUGUUUCGACUAGGGGGUCAUCCCGACUUACCAACUCGAUGCAAACUGCGAAUACCGAAGAAUGUUAUCACGGGAGACACACGGCGGGUGCUAACGUCCGUCGUGAAGAGGGAAACAACCCAGACCGCCAGCUAAGGUCCCAAAGUCAUGGUUAAGUGGGAAACGAAGUGGGAAGGCUCAGACAGCCAGGAUGUUGGCUUAGAAGCAGCCAUCAUUUAAAGAAAGCGUAAUAGCUCACUGGUCGAGUCGGCCCGCGCGGAAGAUGUAACGGGGCUAAACCAUGCACCGAAGCUGCGGCAGCGACACAAAGUGUUGUUGGGUAGGGGAGCGUUCUGUAAGCCUGCGAAGGUGUACUGUGAGGUAUGCUGGAGGUAUCAGAAGUGCGAAUGCUGACAUAAGUAACGAUAAUGCGGGUGAAAAACCCGCACGCCGGAAGACCAAGGGUUCCUGUCCAACGUUAAUCGGGGCAGGGUGAGUCGACCCCUAAGGCGAGGCUGAAAAGCGUAGUCGAUGGGAAACGGGUUAAUAUUCCCGUACUGGUGGUAACUGCGAUGGGGGAACGGAGAAGGCUAGGUUGUCCGGGCGACGGUCGUCCCGGUUCAAGCAGGUAGGCAGAGUGAUUAGGCAAAUCCGGUCACUUAAUGCUGAGAUGUGAUGACGAACCACCAAGGUGGUGAAGCAAUUGAUGCCCCGCUUCCAGGAAAAGCCUCUAAGCUUCAGGUUACCAACAAUCGUACCCCAAACCGACACAGGUGGUCAGGUAGAGAAUACUCAGGCGCUUGAGAGAACUCGGGUGAAGGAACUAGGCAAAAUGGUGCCGUAACUUCGGGAGAAGGCACGCUGGCGGUAGGUAAAGUCCCUCGCGGACGGCGCUGAAGCCAGUCGAAGAUACCAGCUGGCUGCAACUGUUUAUUAAAAACACAGCACUGUGCAAACACGAAAGUGGACGUAUACGGUGUGACGCCUGCCCGGUGCUGGAAGGUUAAUUGAUGGGGUUAGCGUAAGCGAAGCUCCUGAUCGAAGCCCCAGUAAACGGCGGCCGUAACUAUAACGGUCCUAAGGUAGCGAAAUUCCUUGUCGGGUAAGUUCCGACCUGCACGAAUGGCGUAAUGAUGGCCAGGCUGUCUCCACCCGAGACUCAGUGAAAUUGAACUCGCUGUGAAGAUGCAGUGUACCCGCGGCAAGACGGAAAGACCCCGUGAACCUUUACUAUAGCUUGACACUGAACAUUGAGCCUUGAUGUGUAGGAUAGGUGGGAGGCUUUGAAGUGUGGACGCCAGUCUGCAUGGAGCCAACCUUGAAAUACCACCCUUUAACGUUUGAUGUUCUAACCUAGGCCCAUAAACUGGGUCGGGGACCGUGUCUGGUGGGUAGUUUGACUGGGGCGGUCUCCUCCUAAAGAGUAACGGAGGAGCACGAAGGUUGGCUAAGCAUGGUCGGACAUCAUGCGGUUAGUGCAAAGGCAUAAGCCAGCUUGACUGCGAGAGUGACGGCUCGAGCAGGUACGAAAGUAGGUCUUAGUGAUCCGGUGGUUCUGAAUGGAAGGGCCAUCGCUCAACGGAUAAAAGGUACUCCGGGGAUAACAGGCUGAUACCGCCCAAGAGUUCAUAUCGACGGCGGUGUUUGGCACCUCGAUGUCGGCUCAUCACAUCCUGGGGCUGAAGUAGGUCCCAAGGGUAUGGCUGUUCGCCAUUUAAAGUGGUACGCGAGCUGGGUUUAGAACGUCGUGAGACAGUUCGGUCCCUAUCUGCCGUGGGCGUUGGAAGAUUGAGAGGGGUUGCUCCUAGUACGAGAGGACCGGAGUGAACGCACCACUGGUGUUCGGGUUGUCAUGCCAAUGGCAUUGCCCGGUAGCUAAGUGCGGAAGAGAUAACCGCUGAAAGCAUCUAAGCGGGAAACUUGCCUCGAGAUGAGUCUUCCCUGUCGCUUUAAGUGACCUAAAGGAACGUUUAAGACUAAGACGUUGAUAGGCUGGGUGUGUAAGCGUAGCGAUACGUUGAGCUAACCAGUACUAAUGAACCGUGAGGCUUAACCUG